CCUACGGGAGGCAGCAGCCUACGGGAGGCAGCAGUCGGGAAUAUUGGGCAAUGGGGGAAACCCUGACCCAGCAACGCCGCGUGAAGGAAGAAGGCCUUCGGGUUGUAAACUUCUUUUACCAGGGACGAAGAACGUGACGGUACCUGGAGAAAAAGCAACGGCUAACUACGUGCCAGCAGCCGCGGUAAUACGUAGGUUGCAAGCGU
rnacentral:rRNA from 1 species